UUUACAUAGAGUUUGAUCCUGGCUCAGGACGAACGCUGGCGGUGCGCCUAAUGCAUGCAAGUCGAACGGGCGAAGGGGCUUCGGCCCCCUAGCUAGUGGCAGACGGCUGAGUAACACGUAAGUGACCUACCCCGAAGCGGGGGAUAAACUCGAGAAAUCGGGUCUAAUACCCCGUAAGUUCUUCGCACUUCGAUGCGAAGUAGAAAGGUUUCGACCGCUUUGGGAGGGGCUUGCGGCCUAUCAGGUAGUUGGUGGGGUAAUGGCCUACCAAGCCUCAGACGGGUAACCGGUGUGAGAGCACGAUCGGUCAGAGGGGGACUGAGACACGGCCCCCACUCCUACGGGAGGCAGCAGCAGGGAAUCUUGCGCAAUGGGCGAAAGCCUGACGCAGCGACACCGCGUGGGGGAAGAAUGCUUUCGAGUUGUAAACCCCUUUUCCCGGGGAAGAGAACGGACGGUACCCGGGGAAUAAGGUUCGGCUAACUACGUGCCAGCAGCCGCGGUAAUACGUAGGAACCGAGCGUUGUCCGGAUUUACUGGGCGUAAAGUGCGCGUAGGCGGUCUGUUAAGUCUCAUGUGAAAUCUCCCGGCUCAACUGGGAGGGGUCAUGGGAAACUGGCAGGCUUGAGGGCAGCAGAGGAGAGUGGAAUUCCCGGAGUAGUGGUGAAAUGCGUAGAUACCGGGAGGAACACCAGAGGCGAAGGCGACUCUCUGGGCUGUACCUGACGCUGAGGCGCGAAAGCGUGGGGAGCAAACCGGAUUAGAUACCCGGGUAGUCCACGCCCUAAACGAUGGAUACUAGAUAUGGGGGGUAUCGACCCCUCCCGCGUCGCAGCUAACGCGAUAAGUAUCCCGCCUGAGGAGUACGGCCGCAAGGCUAAAACUCAAAGGAAUUGACGGGGACCCGCACAAGCAGCGGAGCGUGUGGUUUAAUUCGAUGAUAAGCGAAGAACCUUACCAGGGCUUGACAUGUUUCUGACAGGCCACGAAAGUGGUCCUUCUUUCGAGACAGACUCACAGAUGUUGCAUGGCUGUCGUCAGCUCGUGC
rnacentral:rRNA from 1 species